GCAAGUCGAGCGAACAGGAUGAGAAGCUUGCUUCUCUGAUGUUAGCGGCGGACGGGUGAGUAACACGUGGGUAACCUGCCUAUAAGACUGGGAUAACUCCGGGAAACCGGGGCUAAUACCGGAUAAUAUUUUGAACCGCAUGGUUCAAUAUUGAAAGACGGUUUCGGCUGUCACUUAUGGAUGGACCCGCGCCGUAUUAGCUAGUUGGUGAGGUAACGGCUUACCAAGGCGACGAUGCGUAGCCGACCUGAGAGGGUGAUCGGCCACACUGGAACUGAGACACGGCCCAGACUCCUACGGGAGGCAGCAGUAGGGAAUCUUCCGCAAUGGGCGAAAGCCUGACGGAGCAACGCCGCGUGAGUGAUGAAGGUCUUCGGAUCGUAAAACUCUGUUGUUAGGGAAGAACAAAUUUGUUAGUAUAAGAACACGUCUUGACGGUACCUAACCAGAAAGCCACGGCUAACUACGUGCCAGCAGCCGCGGUAAUACGUAGGUGGCAAGCGUUAUCCGGAAUUAUUGGGCGUAAAGCGCGCGCAGGCGGUUUCUUAAGUUAUGAUGUGAAAGCCCACGGCUCAACCGUGGAGGGUCAUGGAAAC
rnacentral:rRNA from 2 species